AUAAAACCAGGCUGCCCGAGCUAGCAGUAGUAAUUUGCUUGGGUCCUCUUCUAAUGUGUGGCAGGUUUGUUUUUUCGCUCUUUGCAAUUAAAUCUUGCCAUUGCUCACUCUUUGGGUCCACACUGCUUUUAUGAGCUGUAACACUCACCGCGAAGGUCUGCAGCCUCGCUGCUGAAGCCAGCGAGACCACGAACCCACCGGGAGGAACGAACAACUACAGCUGCGCCGCCUUAAGAGCUGUAACACCGCGAAGGUCUGCAGCUUCACUUCUGAGCCAGCGAGACCACGAACCCACUAGAAGGAAGAAACUCCGGACAUGCCCCCUUUAAGAACUGUUAACACUCAGCGCGAGGGUCCGAGGCUUCUUUCUUGAAGUCAGUGAGACCAAGAACCCACCAAUUCUGGACACAGUGACAAGGAAAAGACAGCGGUAAUUGCCACAUUGAGUGAACCAAGUUUCUAAAUGGCUGGCAUUUGCAUAUUAAAGGUUGCCUGCCCGGCCCUUCAAGCCACCUUUUCUGUUAGAAAAGAGAUGGUUCGGGGCUGUUUUUUUAUUACAGGAAAAUUUCCUCCGAGAACCUUUACCCUGAGUAGCUGCCUGGAAAUUAUUUCUUAAGAACACCUGUAUCACCAGCCUGCAUCUCCCUCAAAGCAGAACCUGAGAUAAAAAGGCUUCUGUGUGAGUGUUUUUUCUGAGAAUGAGGGAAAUACAGAAAGACGGUGGAAGUGGGGAAGGAAAGCUCCUAAGAGUACGCAGUAUUGAAAUGGUCCCUGCCUGCAGGUGGCUGGUUUCUGACCAGGGUAGGUGUGCCGCCAGGCCUGGUGAGAGGGGCUCUUGCUUUUCUAGACACUGCCUCCCUGUGCUCUACCAUGCUGUAGACUCAUUUCUAUUAAUGAGUUGCUCCGUCAAUAUGCAACUCACAUUUGGUGACAAUUAUUUUCAUUAAAUAACCAGAUGAACAGCCUCUCUGAGUAUUUGAGUAAAGAACAAAGGCCGUUUUGGGGGAAGUCGGACCUGAAUGGGUCUUGGUGCACAAGAAGCUGAGAAAGCAGGAGAGAAGAAUCCAGAGGAAAAAGAGGGAUUCACACAGGAGAUUACAUUCUCGUUUCAGGACCUCAAGUGACUCCCUACUGCUAGUCCCAUCAAGUCUGGACUCUGCUAGCAUCCAAAGCCCUCACUCCAUCAGAGGAAGCUGAAGCUGAGAGAGGCUAGGGAGAUUGCUCAGUAUCAUAUACCUACUAAAUGGUGGAGGCAGCUUCUGAAUCCAUGCUAUAGAGGCUGUCAUCUUAACCACCACACUUGACAGCCUCCCAUUUUUUAAGCCACAUCGCCCAAGAGUAGGACUAAGUCCCUAGGGCUUAUGAUGGCCAUGCCAAAGUCUAGAUGUUCCCUAGAAAAUAAAGGGAGCACUAAUAGAAAAAUGGUCCCUCUUCUUCAUCUCAUUAUUGCUGGUCCAGUGCUCAUAGGUUUCAACUAUGAGCCCUAUUGAUGAAAAGUGACCCAGGGACCUUACCGAGUACUUACAGCCAGUGAGAGUGACUUGCAAAUCCUAGUACGCUGACAGAGCCCAUGAUGAAGAACCGAGUCACCUCCCUUAUAAUAAACCAACAAUUGAGGGAGAGGCACUAAUCCAAAAAGGACAUUGUGUAACACUUAUGAGAGUUUUUGAAAAUAGUAGAAGGGCGUGUGAAAGUCAAAUUGACGCUUAAGCCUUUUACAUAUGGGUGCAAAUUAUACGGCAGUACAAUUAAAAAUAUCUAAUUUGACACUCAAGUCAUCUUUGAAAUUUUUAGGGUUAACAGAGGCUGUUUUAGGUGAGAUAGGGAAUGGCUUGUAGCUAUGAAGGGAAGGGAUGGACGCUAUUCAGCGUGGAACUUUUGGGGGUGUUGCCAAAGCAAGUCUUACGAAGUGUCAUGAUAUACCAUCUGUAGGAGAAAAUCCACAGUGAUCACAUUUUGAUAUGAAAGUCAUCUCUUGGCUGGGCGUGGUGGCUCAUGCUUGUAAUCCCAGCACUUUGGGAGGCUGAGGCGGGCGGAUCACUUGAGACCCAGGAGUUCGAGACCAGCCUGGCCAACAUGGUGAAACCUCGUCUCUACUAAAAAUAUAAAAAAAAAUUUAGCUGGGCAUGGUGGCAGGUGCCUGUAACCUCAGCUACUGGGGAGGCUGAGGCAGGAGAAUCACUUGAACCCAGGAGGCGGAGGUUGCGGUGAGCCGAGAUUGUACCAUUGCACUCCAGCUUGGGCGACAAGAGUGAAACACCAUCUCGGAAAAAAAAAACAAAAAAAACCCAAAAAGAAAAAAGUCAUCUCUUUUAGGUAGAUAAGUGCAAACUUAAUGAGAAUAAAUGGUAGCAGAAAAAGUUGUUUUUAAUAUGGAUGAACUCACUCUAAUUCCUUUAGAGUGAACUAUCGAGUUGCGUGCCUAUGAUGAAGAGCAUGGUGCUUCAAGUUACAGUUUAGUUAAAGGACUCUGAAGUCGUUGUUUAUUGUGACCCGAGCUUGUAGUCUAUUGUUAAUUUGGGCAGUUAACAAAGGGUUGUUGCAAAGGGUUUUGUUAAUAAAACAAACAGCUACAUCUUAAAUCGACACCUGAACACUGU
rnacentral:lncRNA from 10 species